CCAAUAAUAAAAAAAAAUCCAUCAUCAACAGAUCCUAUGAUUCAACAUGGAAACCGGGCAGAGAAAACGCUCGGCUUACUUCACCCCACUUGAAAUAGAUAUUCUGCUGGGUGUAUAUGGCGAGUACGAACACAUUUUUAGGAAGAAAGGCAACACGGCUGCAGCAGCAAAGGAGAGAGAACUGGCGUGGGAGAGAAUUGCAGCGCGGGUAAAUGCGUGCAAUCCCACGGGAACAAAAAGGACUUGGCAGCAGCUGAAAAUGAAAUAUAAAAACAUAGUUCAAACAGCUAACAGAAAGAAGGCAGAGGCUCGCAAAGUGGUUGAAGGGGCACCUUCAUCCAUGCUGAGGCAGAAGAGCUUGCCAAGAUUGCUGAUGGCCUUGUUGAGACUCCUACUUCAGCAGAAGCAUUUCCAACCCUUCCAUCUGAAGCAGACGAAGAUGAUGAUAAGGAUACAUUAUCCGCUGAGAUAGAUCCAGAUAGACCUAGUGAGAGCAAGGCCGAACAUUAUCAAGAGGAAGCUCCAUCAACUACCCCAGCACAUAUUAACAAAUUAAAGAAAUAUACAAAAUGCACCUCAUCCAAACAAUGACAAAAACUGACAAAGAAAUCACAUACUUGGAUCGUCAGAUUAGAAAGACAGAUCUGGAAAUUGAAUUACUGGAGCACCAGUUAGAGGUGGGUAACAUGUUACAGGUGAUUACUCUCUGAUAAAUACACAAAUGAUAAUGGUUGGUUUUGUAUUUGUAGGAAAUAAAGAAGAACAAAUGAAAUGUGAAUAAGGAGUCCUUAUUUAUCCUGUGGGGGUGGGGAAACUAAUCUGAAAAGAGAUUGUAGCAAAGUUGUUUCUCUGACAGCUCUUGCAUCAUGAACAUCUUCAGGGUGAACAGGAUCCUCUUCCCCAGGUUCAUCCACUCAUAUGGCAGGGUGCUGCUAAGAGAGGCAAUAUUAUGGAGAACAACACAUGCCACAAUGAUGCCACAUGCUCUCUCUGAUGAUACCUUGAGUCUAUGCAGGCACUGGAACCAGGAUUUGAAUCAUGUCCACCCAGAGAAGGGGAAGUUUAAUUACAGCAACAACAAUUCCAAGUAUAAUCAUGAAGUAUAACUGAAGGAUUUGUACAUCAAUCGCCUGCUGUGCUACAGAAUUCCUCUUUAAUACUCCUUCUUAGUUUAUGAGAUUUCUUAUUUGGAAUAGUACAAAAUUUUGUAGCUGAUGUUUAAGAGAAAAAUAAAUCUUUCUAACUGGUGCACAGACAGUCAUGUGUCAUACAGGAAACCCCUGAUGGUAACAAAGCGAAUUGCCACACAAAGAGAUUGGUCUGAUGUGAAA